rnacentral:hammerhead_ribozyme from 1 species
AUCCAGUUGACGUGUCCCAAAUAGAACGAAAAGCGCGUCCUGGAU